AGUAAUUCAUUUAGUAAGUACUUACUCAGUGCCUGCUAUGUGCCAGGCAUCAUUCUUGGCACUGGGGGAA
rnacentral:miRNA from 1 species